UACGUAGGGACCGAGCGUUGUCCGGAAUCACUGGGCGUAAAGGGUGCGUAGGCGGGUCUUUAAGUCAGGGGUGAAAUCCUGGAGCUCAACUCCAGAACUGCCUUUGAUACUGAAGAUCUUGAGUUCGGGAGAGGUGAGUGGAACUGCGAGUGUAGAGGUGAAAUUCGUAGAUAUUCGCAAGAACACCAGUGGCGAAGGCGGCUCACUGGCCCGAUACUGACGCUGAGGCACGAAAGCGUGGGGAGCAAACAGG
rnacentral:rRNA from 1 species